rnacentral:rRNA from 1 species
AUUGAACGCUAGCGGGAUGCCUUACACAUGCAAGUCGAACGGAGUGGCGAACGGGUGCGUAAUGUAUCGGAACGUGCCCAGUCGCGGGGGAUAACUACGCGAACGCGUAGCUAAUACCGCAUACUUUUGGAGCGGCCGGUAUCGGAUUAGCUAGUGGGGGGGGAAACGGCUCACCAAGGCGUCGAUCCGUAGCUGGUUUGGGUGGACGAACAGCCACACUGGGACUGAGACACGGCCCAGACUCCUACGGGAGGCAGCAGUGGGGAAUUUUGGACAAUGGGGGAAACCCUGAUCCAGCCAUCCCGCGUGUGUGAUGAAGGCCUUCGGGUUGUAAAGCACUUUUGGCAGGAAAGCGGUACCUGCAGAAGAAGCACCGGCUAACUACGUGCCAGCAGCCGCGGUAAUAC